CACAUUUGUUGACCCCCUCAAAGAAUUCUGAUAGAUUAGUGAGGCGUGAUUUCCCUUUACAAGAGCCAUAUUGAUUCUUCCCUAACAAAUCGUGUUCCUCUAUGUGUCUGAUAAUUCUGUUCUUUACUAUAGUUUCAAUCAAUUUGCCUGGUACAGAAGUCAGGCUUAGCAGACUAAUUGCCAAGAUCACUUCUCAAGCCUUUUUUAAAAAUUGGGGUAACAUUAACUGUCCUCCAGUCAUCUGGUACAGGAGCUGAUUUAAGUGAUAGGUUACAUAUCACACAGGUUUUAGGACUGUA